GCGAGGUGCGUUCCCCAGCCUGGUUUGCUCUGGGCUCUGACCCGCCGCCGCGAAUCUCCGCUCGUAACUCCGGGCCUGAACCUGGAGGAGGGAGGAUUUCCUCUGUGCAGCUUUCGAGCGGUAGACUCACCCUGCCAGGCAGACCUAGAUUGGCAUAACCAGAGAUCAGUUCCAGUUGUGAUGCAGUGGGUGUCUACACACUUCUGAUGACACCUUUAUUUUAAAAGCUGAUGUUCCAAGAGUCGGGGUUUCACCGUGUUAGCCAGGAUGGUCUCGAUCUCCUGACCUCGUGAUCCGCCCACCUCCGCCUCUCCAAGUGCUGGGAUUACAGGCAUGAGCCACCGCGCCCGGCCCUUGUAUUUUUAAACUUUGACUUUAUGGAGACGAACACCAUCGUUUGCUGAACACUUGAAACAUGAUGAAAGAGCCACAGAGUUGGCAGAACUGUUUGAAAAUGCUGUGCAAGCGGUCUUCUCUGUCUUCUUUAUGGCCAGUAAAAUUCUCCAGAAGAGAUUUAUGGCAGCCUCACUCCCAGUAGUUUCUGCAUUUAGUGAGAUAAGGAAUGGAUUUUCUUCUGUGUAUUGCUGACACGAACAGGAGACGGAAAUACUGAGUAGAAGAGGGCGGUUCCCUGGCUAAGGCCCCACCCUCAAGCCUGGAUACCCGCGGCCCUAAAUGAGAAGAGGCGUUUCUGUUUGGGGCCCAAAAAGUUGCUUUUUGACCCACCACGCCCCCUAUCCUGCCCCCAUAUAAACCCCAAACCCCAACCUCCAGAGCAUACCAGCAGGUGAGGAGAUACGAGGCAAGCCGACUGACGGCAAAACGACGUAGCAGAGAAAGAGAGAAGAGGAGGGACGUCUGGACACCGAGAGAUGUUUGGCUCGGGGCAGUCAGAGCGGAGUCCAGCCCCUGGGCGGCCCAACUCCAGGGGAAGAUCACCUUCCCACUUCAUCCAUCCCCACCCUUCCAGCUCCCCAUCCAUCCUGCUGAAAGCCAUUUCCACCACUCAAUAAAACCUCGCAUUCAUCCUUCAAGUCCGUGUGUGACCCGAUUUUUCCUGGAUUCUGGAAAAGAGCUCGGAAUACAGAAAGCUGUCCCCUGGUCCUUUGCCCUUGUGAAAAAGCAGAAGGUCCAUUGAGCUGGUUAACACUCCAGCUGUCUGUGGUGGCCAAGCUGAAAGAGCUUUGUAACACUGGGGUUGCAGGCACCCACCUCUAGACGCUACCGCAGAGCCAGAGCCCAAAGCCCUCACCCCGGCCUCUGCACUUGCCCAUCUGCGUGCUCCCCCUCUCGCAAGGGGUUUCUGCAGAGGGGGCUACUGAACAGGUGAGCCACACCCCUGUCGCACGCCCUGCAAGGGGAAUCAGGGAACUCUUCCGUUUCAUUGCUUUGACCACAUCCUAUAAAUCUUGUUCUCCUUGUCUUUCAGCUCCAAUUUGUUUAUACAUUCAGUUUUUACUUUUGACUUUACUCAUGAUUUAUUAUAGAAAGAUGUUUAACAAUUUUCAAGCAAAUGGAAUAAUUUUUGCUCCUCUUUCGUUGUUAAUUUAUUAUUCAUUGGAGUUAGAAAAUUGUUGCUAAAAUAAAUUCUGCAUUUUGAA
ensembl:lncRNA SLC12A2-DT SLC12A2 divergent transcript